UACGUAGGGUGCAAGCGUUGUCCGGAAUUAUUGGGCGUAAAGAGCUCGUAGGCGGUUCGUCGCGUCGGCUGUGAAAACCCGGAGCUCAACUCCGGGCCUGCAGUCGAUACGGGCGGACUUGAGUGUUGCAGGGGAGACUGGAAUUCCUGGUGUAGCGGUGGAAUGCGCAGAUAUCAGGAAGAACACCGGUGGCGAAGGCGGCUCUCUGGGCCUUACCUGACGCUGAGGAGCGAAAGCGUGGGUAGCGAACAGG
rnacentral:rRNA from 1 species